rnacentral:rRNA from 1 species
AGCAGCCGCGGUAAUUCCAGCUCCAAUAGCGUAUAUUAAAGUUGUUGCAGUUAAAAAGCUCGUAGUUGAAUUUCGGGGUUAGUGGAUUGAUCGUGCCUCCGGUAUGUACUGGUCUUACUGAUUCCUCCUUCUUGAUGAACUGUAAUGUCAUUAAUUUGGUGUUAUGGGGAAUCUGGACUGUUACUUUGAAAAAAUUAGAGUGUUUAAAGCAGGCUUACGCCUGAAUACAUUAGCAUGGAAUAAUGAAAUAGGACGCUCGAUCCUAUUUUGUUGGUUUCUAGGAUUGACGUAAUGAUUAAUAGGGAUAGUUGGGGGCAUUAGUAUUCAAUUGUCAGAGGUGAAAUUCUUGGAUUUAUUGAAGCUAACUACUGCGAAAGCAUUUGCAGGAUGUUUUCAUUAAUCAAGAACGAAAGUUAGGGAUCGAAGACGAUCAGAUACCGUCGUAGUCUUAACCAUAAACUAUGCCGACUAGGGAUCGGAUGAUGUUAAUUUUUANGUACUCAUUCGCGCUUACGGGAAA